rnacentral:rRNA from 1 species
AUUGAACGCUGGCGGCGUGCUUAACACAUGCAAGUCGUACGCGAAAGGGACUUCGGUCCCGAGUAAAGUGGCGCACGGGUGAGUAACACGUGGAUAAUCUGCCUCUAUGAUGGGGAUAACAGUUGGAAACGAUUGCUAAUACCGAAUACGCUCAUGAUGAACUUUGUGAGGAAAGGUGGCCUCUGCUUGCAAGCUAUCGCAUAGAGAUGAGUCCGCGUCCCAUUAGCUAGUUGGUGGGGUAACGGCCUACCAAGGCAACGAUGGGUAGCCGAUCUGAGAGGAUGAUCGGCCACACUGGAACUGAAACACGGUCCAGACUCCUACGGGAGGCAGCAGUGGGGAAUAUUGCGCAAUGGGCGAAAGCCUGACGCAGCGACGCCGCGUGAGGGAUGAAGGUCUUCGGAUCGUAAACCUCUGUCAGAAGGGAAGAAACUAGGGUGCUCUAAUCAUCAUCCUACUGACGGUACCUUCAAAGGAAGCACC